rnacentral:lncRNA from 1 species
CUCAAGUGAUCCUCCCACUUCAGUCUCCUGAGUAGCUGGGACUUCAGGUACAAGCCAUCAAGCACUGCCAAUUAGUGUACGAUUUCACAAAGAGAUAACUGAUACGAAGGAAAGCCACCUGGCUCUCUGAGAGCAUGCAUAGGACAGUGGAGCUGAUGUACAGGAAGAGUGGUCAGAAAAGCCUUCCUGGAGGAAGUGAUGUUUGAGCUGUUAAAGUCUGAAUAAAAGUUAACCAAGCCAAAAAAGGAGCCAAAACACUCAAGUGGUGCACUUGGGGACACACUGUGGCGUCUGUGGAGAGAAAGAAGAAGUUGACACCUGAUAUGAGAGGGAAGGAAGACCUUGGAAGGUGGUGUGCAAAUCCCAGCAGGAGCUCCUGGGAAGUGGGAUUUACAGCUGUGAAUGUACAUUGAAAGGAAUCUGGAGUUUCAGUCCUGAGUGCAAAUAUUCUUACCCCCACACCCCCACAGUUUUUGUCCAGAUGCUCAGAGCCCUGGCUGGGGAACGAAGAUUUGCAUAGUUGCAGCACAGACUUGCUUCCCACCUUGGGAACUGCUUUAUGGAGUCCUGAGACCAAAGGCCUGGAUCCCUAACUUAUUGAUGACACAGCCAGCUUUUGGUGUCCAUGUUGCUGUGAGUCUGUGUGGGUUAAGUUCAUCCUGGUAUGCAUGUGUGUGUGUGCACAUGGGCUCAUGGAAGAGUGUGUGUGCACAUGCAUA